GACGAGCCUCACGAACGUUAUUCGGAAUUACUGGGCUUAAAGGGUGCGUAGGCGGCGCGGAAAGUAGGGUGUGAAAUCCCUCGGCUCAACCGAGGAACUGCGCUCUAAACUACCGUGCUCGAGGGAGAUAGAGGUAAGCGGAACUUAGGGUGGAGCGGUGAAAUGCGUAGAUAUCGGAAGGAACACCAGUGGCGAAAGCGGCUUCCUGGUCCAGCACCGACGUUCAGGCACGAAAGCGUGGGGAGCAAACAGG
rnacentral:rRNA from 1 species